ensembl:lincRNA
CUUCCUUCUCAGAGGCCUUCGGUAUAAUAUGUGCUUUGCAUGGAAAAUUCUUCACCUUUAAUCUCACAAGAAUACUUGUUGGAGAAGUACAUGGACAGAUUGAAAUUUUUCAGAAGAAAUUAAGAGCUGCAGUAGGCUGAAGCAAUUAGGACUUCAUGGAUCAAGCAGAA